rnacentral:rRNA from 1 species
UACGUAGGGUGCGAGCGUUAAUCGGAAUUACUGGGCGUAAAGCGUGCGCAGGCGGCUUUGCAAGACAGAUGUGAAAUCCCCGGGCUCAACCUGGGAACGUGCAUUUGUGGCUGCAUCGCUGGAGUACGGCAGAGGGGGAUGGAAUUCCGCGUGUAGCAGUGAAAUGCGUAGAUAUGCGGAGGAACACCGAUGGCGAAGGCAAUCCCCUGGGCCUGUACUGACGCUCAUGCACGAAAGCGUGGGGAGCAAACAGG